CUGUUAGUGCCCAGUGCUGCCCAUGAACCACAGGCAUAGUGAGAUGCGGCCCGUUCUUGUUCCCGACGUCCCAGGGGGCCAUGAUGCACAGCACAGCCAAGGUCACAGGCCGGAAGUGCCUCCCAGGCUGACUUCGGGCUGCAGCAGCCUAGGCUCCCCACACUCCUGCUCCACAGAGGCCCUGGAGAGGUGGCACCGGCCACCGGCCCAACUGCCGCGCGGAGCUGAUGGUCUCUCACAGACUCUCCUGGCGCGGGACUGUCCUCGACCUCAGCAGUGCUAGGCCCUCUCCCCCCAGACCUGGCCACUCCUCUGCAGACCUCUGGUUCUGUUGGCGGGAUGCCAGCGGAGGCCGCAGUGGGGAGGCUUCACUUUCACUUUCCCGUGGAAUGAUCUGGAAGCCAGGUAAGUGGCGUCUGGAGAUGAGACACUGGACUCAGGCUCUUCUGAUUCCAGACACCGUUACAGACGCUGCGAACACCUCUUUGUGCUUCUGCACUUUGGGGACUGGGUUCUAGAGAUGGGCCUGCUGGGCCAAGGGUGAGGGUCUGUGCUGCCACCAGGCCCUGCUGAGGCCUCGCCAGAGGCCGCGUGUCCACUGCCCCACCUCUGCCAGCAAGGACUCUGGUCCUCGGGCAGUCUCUCCAGUGCGUCUCUCGGAUUCUUCCUUGUGAAUGCGAAGGCUCUUCUUCAGCAGAGGAGCCGGUCACCAGCUCAGCCUGGGUGCUGCCACCGUGCCUGGUGACCUGCCUGUGUGUGCAGGGGUGAAUGCUCCUCUGACGCUCAUCUUGCCACUGUGCCGGUUUGUCCACCCGUCUCUUGAGGUUGGCACCUCCACCCUGUUCCCUCGGCCUCCCCAGCUCUGUGGAGGGAACCACAGUGGUUCGAGCCUCAGCAGCGCUGAACAGGCCAGUGCUUCUUCCCUCCCUUCCACCUCAGGAGCUCAGGUGGGCCCACAGCUGUGGGUGGCACACCCACUGGGCUCCCACCUUGGGCUUCCUCUCCAC
rnacentral:lncRNA from 1 species